AAACCUGUAACCGGUACGGGCCUUGAGAGAGGUGGCCCGGAGAUGGACACUGAGAGAAGGGUCCAGGUCCUACGGGGCGCAGCAGGCGCGAAACCUUCGCAAGGGGGGAAAGCGUGACGAGGUUAAUCCGAGUGGCCCCCGCUGAGGGGGUCUUUUGUCAGCUGUAAAUAGGCAGGCGAAUAAGGGGAGGGCAAGCCUGGUGUCAGCCGCCGCGGUAAUACCAGCUCCUCGAGUGGUCGGGGCGAUUAUUGGGCCUAAAGCAUCCGUAGCCGGUUCCGUAGGUCCUCUGUUAAAUCCAGCCGCUUAACGGUUGACAUGCAGAGGAUACCGCGGGACUAGGAGGCGGGAGAGGCGGACGGUACUCCGCGUGUAGGGGUAAAAUCCUUUGAUCCGCGGAAGA
rnacentral:rRNA from 1 species